UACGUAGGGGGGCAAGCGUUGUCCGGAAUUAUUGGGCGUAAAGAGCGCGUAGGCGGUCCGAUAAGUCGGCUGUGAAAAGUCGGGGGGCUCAACCCUCGGAUGCGGGUGGAUACUGUCGGGCUUGAGUGCGGGAGAGGUGAGUGGAAUUCCCCAGUGUAGCGGUGAAAAUGCGUAGAUAUUGGGAGGAACACCAGUGGCGAAGGCGGCUCACUGGACCGGAACUGACGCUGAGGAGCGAAAAGCAUGGGGGAGCGAACAGG
rnacentral:rRNA from 1 species